UAGGGAAUCUUCCACAAUGGACGCAAGUCUGAUGGAGCAACGCCGCGUGAGUGAAGAAGGUCUUCGGAUCGUAAAGCUCUGUUGUUGGUGAAGAAGGAUAGAGGCAGUAACUGGUCUUUAUUUGACGGUAAUCAACCAGAAAGUCACGGCUAACUACGUGCCAGCAGCCGCGGUAAUACGUAGGUGGCAAGCGUUGUCCGGAUUUAUUGGGCGUAAAGCGAGCGCAGGCGGAAUGAUAAGUCUGAUGUGAAAGCCCACGGCUCAACCGUGGAACUGCAUCGGAAACUGUCAUUCUUGAGUGCAGAAGAGGAGAGUGGAACUCCAUGUGUAGCGGUGGAAUGCGUAGAUAUAUGGAAGAACACCAGUGGCGAAGGCGGCUCUCUGGUCUGCAACUGACGCUGAGGCUCGAAAGCAUGGGUAGCGAACAGGAUUAGAUACCCUGGUAGUCCAUGCCGUAAACGAUGAGCGCUAGGUGUUGGGGACUUUCCGGUUCUCAGUGCCGCAGCAAACGCAUUAAGCGCUCCGCCUGGGGAGUACGACCGC
rnacentral:rRNA from 1 species